rnacentral:tRNA from 1 species
GAGGGUAUAGCUCAAGUGGUAAGAGUGCAUGUUUAGCAUGCUUGAGAUGCUGGGUUCAAUCCCUAGUACCUCCU